rnacentral:lncRNA from 1 species
UUAGAUUUCCCACCCCCUGUUUUAGAAUUGCCACCCUAGCCUUUUUAAAAAAAUGCCGGGACUACCCUCCGGGACUUAAACCUCCAUACCAGUCCAGAGGUUGAUGUUCUGGACUAUUCCGAGAGUUAAAAGUUCGGAUUCUUUAGUUACAGUUAAAAUAACAUGAUCGGUGUCGUGGCCGUCUUGGAGGACUUGCCUAACGAAUUGUUGGGUUGAAAUGUUUGGUUUGUAAUUGUGGUGGUGGUUGAGAUUGUAAUUGAUGAAUAUGCCUUUUGGUUUGGUCUUAACUUACUGCAUUCUGCUGCUUGGUAAGAGUUAUCCAGGACUUUAAGUUUCGAAUCUAUCCAGG